UACGUAGGCAGCAAGCGUUGUUCGGAGUUACUGGGCGUAAAGAGUGCGUAGGCGGUUCCGUAAGUUUGAUGUGAAAUCUCCCGGCUUAACUGGGAGGGUGCGUCGAAGACUGCGGAGCUGGAGUAUGGGAGAGGUAGGCGGAAUUCCUGGUGUAGCGGUGAAAUGCGUAGAUAUCAGGAGGAACACCGGUGGCGUAGACGGCUUACUGGACCAUGACUGACGCUGAGGCACGAAAGCGUGGGGAGCAAACAGG
rnacentral:rRNA from 1 species